AUCAGGCGCCUGAAUGAUAACCAGCUAACUGGACCAAUCCCAAGAGAACUUUCUAGUGUUUCUAGCCUGAAAGUUGUGGAUGUCUCAAAUAACAAUUUGUGUGGAACAAUUCCUACUUCUGGUCCAUUUGAGCAUAUUCCACUGAACAACUUUGAGCACAAUCCUCGACUUGAAGGUCCGGAGUUGUUGGGACUCGCUAGCUAUGACACCAAUUGCUCUUAGGAAAGUUGAUGAAUAGGCUCAGAAGAACAGCCACUUUUUGUGGAAGUUCACAUAAAUCCCUUGCCUGAAUGUUGGUUAUUAUUGUACUUACUAUGCGUCCAAGUUGUAAUUCUAAGGAAAGAUAUGAUGUAUGUAGGAUAUUAGUAAGUUAAUGAAUGUGUGUAAAACGGUCAAUAUACUGCUACCAAGUGCUAAUGUUUUUUAUAUUUCAGCGUUUAGUGAAAUGGUUCAGUGGGUUUAGAAA